UUACAAAAUGGGUUACAUUAUUGCCUACUGAUCCGACCAUUAACCAGCACUAACUGCAAGUGUGCCCUUUUUUUUUUUUUUUUUUAAAUUGAAUUUAAUUUUAUUCCUCUCAGAACCAAGUCCAAUUCGCUGCUAUCAAAACAACAGUUUCUAUUCGUUCAUGGAGAGCUCCUUCCUUGGAUUCCAGUUCCCAAACUUAUCUACAUUCCUCUCAUUGGUGCCAGACACUGAAAAAUCAAUGCUGAUCAACUCCAUGUCACCAUCUGACCUUGGCAGCCUCCUCAGUCGGCCGAACAUUGUUGACAACAGCUCACAGCUCUGCACCAUUUUUAAUUAUUACUUCAGUACUCCUGAUUUCUUGGAGAAGGAAAAUGUCUCUGAUAGCCUGAGGCAACAAAUCUUGCCUUGUGUCUGGCCAAUGGCCCUAAGCAGUAAAACCAAGACUGACGUGGAAGUAUGGUUUAACAGCUUGAGCCAGUACAUGAAAUUUCUCAACAAGGACCUCAUCGGCUCUCCCAAACUUCUCAGUGCCAGCUGCCUGUCAUUUCAGAAAUUCGUUUUUGUUCUUGGAAAUGGUUACAACUACAGCAACAUGAACUUCAAUAAGGGCAAUGUUUACACUACCAUUAAGGACUACCUCAGCACUGGAACAAAACCCAAAUGCUACAACGCUACAAAUCCUGACCUGAACUCCACUGCUUGGUUUGUUGACUACAUCGGCGAGUUCAUCAACUUCACCACUCUGGAUGACCUCAACUCAUUCGGUUCUACACAGCUUCAGGUCUUUGCCCCAAACCUUGCAAACAUCCAUCUCUUCAAUCAAACUGGUUUUCAACAGAACAUCUCAUCAUUUUACACAGAACUCAUUUACUUACAGGACCCUAAUUUUGACCCUUUGCUACUUCCAAUGGAGUUCCGCUGUAGUGCCCCAGGCUCAUCAUACACACAACUGAACAAUGAAGAGGCUAUGACUGUUCUCAGAAACAUAAGCCACGUAUGUACUGAAGUCGACCCUCAGAUUACUGCAGCCUUGGCUGGAGACCUUGAAAUAAGUGUAGCUGCAAUCACAUCACUGGGCCAAGAAUGUUCAGGACUGACCACUGACCAGAUUAUAACAGCUCCUCCAUCUGUGAUCAUUUCAUCCCUUCCAAUACUACGUACAGUGAAUGGCUGGGACCUGGGGCAACUGAUAGCCAUCAUACAAGUUCUGGCUUCAGGGGGUCUUCAACUGAACAACAGUGUGGAACUUCUGGAGCUAGGAACGCUUGUUGUGGGAGUGCCCUCAACAGUUUUUACUCACACUGAUCCUUCUCAGCUUCUGCAAAUAUCCAAAAAUGCAUCGUUCAUUAUCAACAUUUUGAAUGCCCCCCCAAACACAAAGUACACUUUUAUUAACCAGGUAUGUGUGUGUGAAACAAAAAGAUUAUAG
rnacentral:lncRNA from 1 species